AUUGAACGCUGGCGGCAUGCCUUACACAUGCAAGUCGAACGGCAGCACGGGAGCAAUCCUGGUGGCGAGUGGCGAACGGGUGAGUAAUAUACCGGAACGUGCCCAGUCGUGGGGGAUAACGCAGCGAAAGCUGUGCUAAUACCGCAUACGAUCUAAGGAUGAAAGCGGGGGAUCGCAAGACCUCGCGCGAUUGGAGCGGCCGAUAUCAGAUUAGCUAGUUGGUGGGGUAAAGGCCCACCAAGGCGACGAUCUGUAGCUGGUCUGAGAGGACGACCAGCCACACUGGAACUGAGACACGGUCCAGACUCCUACGGGAGGCAGCAGUGGGGAAUUUUGGACAAUGGGCGCAAGCCUGAUCCAGCAAUGCCGCGUGCAGGUUGAAGGCCUUCGGGUUGUAAACUGCUUUUGUACGGAACGAAACGGCCCUUUCUAAUACAGGGGGCUAAUGACGGUACCGUAAGAAUAAGCACCGGCUAACUACGUGCCAGCAGCCGCCGUAA
rnacentral:rRNA from 1 species